rnacentral:rRNA from 1 species
CCUACGGGAGGCUGCAGUGAGGAAUAUUGGUCAAUGGACGAGAGUCUGAACCAGCCAAGUAGCGUGAAGGAUGACUGCCCUAUGGGUUGUAAACUUCUUUUAUAUGGGAAUAAAACGUUCCACGUGUGGGAUUUUGUAUGUACCAUAUGAAUAAGGAUCGGCUAACUCCGUGCCAGCAGCCGCGGUAAUACGGAGGAUCCGAGCGUUAUCCGGAUUUAUUGGGUUUAAAGGGAGCGUAGGUGGAUUGUUAAGUCAGUUGUGAAAGUGUGCGGCUCAACCGUAAAAUUGCAGUUGAAACUGGCAGUCUUGAGUACAGUAGAGGUGGGCGGAAUUCGUGGUGUAGCGGUGAAAUGCUUAGAUAUCACGAAGAACUCCGAUUGCGAAGGCAGUUCACUGGACUGCAACUGACACUGAGGCUCGAAAGUGUGGGUAUCAAACAGGAUUAGAUACCCUGGUAGUC